rnacentral:tRNA from 1 species
GCAUUGGUGGUUCAAUGGUAGAAACUUCACUUCCUAUGCAGGAAACCAGGGUUAGAUUCCUGGUCAAUGCA